rnacentral:rRNA from 1 species
AACGAACGCUGGCGGCAUGCCUAACACAUGCAAGUCGAACGAGACCUUCGGGUCUAGUGGCGCACGGGUGCGUAACGCGUGGGAAUCUGCCCUUGGGUUCGGAAUAACAGUUAGAAAUGACUGCUAAUAUCGGAUGAUGACGUAAGUCCAAAGAUUUAUCGCCCAAGGAUGAGCCCGCGUAAGAUUAGCUAGUUGGUAGGGUAAAGGCCUACCAAGGCUACGAUCUUUAGCUGGUCCGAGAGGAUGAUCAGCCACACUGGGACUGAGACACGGCCCAG